GAUGAACGCUGGCGGCGUGCCUAAUACAUGCAAGUCGAGCGAACAGACGAGGAGCUUGCUCCUCUGACGUUAGCAGCGGACGGGUGAGUAACACGUGGAUAACCUACCUAUAAGACUGGGAUAACUUCGGGAAACCGGAGCUAAUACCGGAUAAUAUAUUGAACCGCAUGGUUCAAUAGUGAAAGACGGUUUUGCUGUAACUUAUAGAUGGAUCCGCGCCGCAUUAGCUAGUUGGUAAGGUAACGGCUUACCAAGGCAACGAUGCGUAGCCGACCUGAGAGGGUGAUCGGCCACACUGGAACUGAGACACGGUCCAGACUCCUACGGGAGGCAGCAGUAGGGAAUCUUCCGCAAUGGGCGAAAGCCUGACGGAGCAACGCCGCGUGAGUGAUGAAGGUCUUCGGAUCGUAAAACUCUGUUAUUAGGGAAGAACAAAUGUGUAAGUAACUAUGCACGUCUUGACGGUACCUAAUCAGAAAGCCACGGCUAACUACGUG
rnacentral:rRNA from 1 species